GUAUAAGAGCAUGAGCUACCAGUUCCUUGGCAUGCGUCAUUAUCCGGGGUCGUGACGUCAUCAAUGCGCCCUGCUGCUUUCUGCUGGGUUCAGCGUAACGUGCUGCUUGUAAAAUUUGCCGAAGCUGUUUAUCCACUGGCGGUGCUGUUGACGGGUCUAUGGGCUUGUUUGGAGAGUUGAAUGUGGACAUUUGAGACAGUGUACGAUUUAUCGGCGCUUCAUGCCAACGAGCUUGUCGGAGACAUUCGCCUCCAUCUAUCGCAUAGUCUGGGGAUGGUGAUUCUGGGACAGCGUGGUUGGUUGCAUGCGAUAAGGACGAUACCGACCUUCUGAAUGAGUAUUAUCUGCCCUGUGUUUCGCCAUAAGACUUUGUUCGCGCUGUGCCUCAUCAACUGCUGUUCUGUUUGGGUUCUGUUUUGUGUGUG